rnacentral:rRNA from 1 species
CACGUGUGUCGUGGAGCAUUUGGUUUAAUUCGAUGUAAAGCGAAGAACCUUACCAGGGCUUGACAUGCCGCGAAUCCUGUUGAAAGAGAGGGGUGCCCUCGGGAACGCGUACACAGGUGGUGCAUGGCUGUCGUCAGUUCGUGUCGUAAGGUGUUGGGUUAAGUCUCGUAACGAGCGCAACCCUCGUGUUUAGUUGCCACUAUGAGUUUGAAACCUUGAACAGAUAGCCGGUGUGAAGCCGGAGGAAGGCGAGGAUGAGGCCAAGUCAUCAUGCCCCUUAUUCCAUGGGCGACACACGUGCUACAAUGGGCGGGACAAAGGGUCUCGAUCUCGCGAGGGUGAGCUAACUCCAAAAACCCGUCCUCAGUUCGGAUUGCAGGCUGCAACUCGCCUGCAUGAAGCAGGAAUCGCUAGUAAUCGCCGGUCAGCCAUACGGCGGUGAAUCCGUUCC